rnacentral:misc_RNA from 1 species
GCAAACUUGGUCAUUUAGAGGAAGUAAAAGUCGUAACAAGGUUUCCGUAGGUGAACCUGCGGAAGGAUCAUUGCCUGAGGGCGCGUGGCCGAGCGUGCGCAAGCGCGCGGAGCCCGCGCAUUACACUCAUGACCCAUGUGAACCAACAAAGUGACGUGACGGUGGCGUGUCGUCGUCGUCGUCGUCCGCGCGCGGCCCGUCCGCGCGCGCGGCGCGCUUCUUCACCCUCCAUCCCUCUCUUUUUUACUAUUUCUUUCAACUAUUAACCACGUUGACCUUGCUUCUCUGACUGAGAUUCAAGCGACCUUAACACGUCGCGACCAAACCAAACAUAUCACAACUUUUAACAACGGAUAUCUUGGCUCGCGCAUCGAUGAAGAACGCAGC